rfam:Neotoma lepida isolate 417 scaffold_101, whole genome shotgun sequence.
GGAGAGAUGGCUCAGCGGUUAAGAGCACUGACUGCUUUUCUAGAGGACCUGGGUUCAAAUCCCAGCAUCCA